CCUACGGGAGGCAGCAGUGGGGGAUAUUGCACAAUGGGGGGAACCCUGAUGCAGCGACGCCGCGGGGGUGAAGGAGUAUUUCGGUAUGUAAAGCCCUAUCAGCAGGGAAGAACACUGACGGUACCUGACUAAGAAGCACCGGCUAAAUACGUGCCAGCAGCCGCGGUAAUACGGAUGGAGCAAGCGUUAUCCGGAUUUACUGGGGGUAAAGGGAGCGCAGGCGGCGCGUUAAGCCUGGUGUGAAAGCCCGCGGCGUAACCGCGGGACUGCAUUGGUAACUGGCGCGCUGGAGUAUGGGAGGGGUAGGCGGAAUUCCUAGUGUAGCGGUGAAAUGCGUAGAGAUUAAGAGGAAUACUCGUGGCGAAGGCGACCUACUGGAAGAUGACUGACGCUGAGGCUCGAAAGCGUGGGGAGCAAACAGGAUUAGAUACCCUUGUAGUC
rnacentral:rRNA from 1 species